rnacentral:rRNA from 1 species
CACACUAUCAUUAACUGAAUCCAUAGGUUAAUGAGGCGAACCGGGGGAACUGAAACAUCUAAGUACCCCGAGGAAAAGAAAUCAACCGAGAUUCCCCCAGUAGCGGCGAGCGAACGGGGAGCAGCCCAGAGCCUGAAUCAGUAUGUGUGUUAGUGGAAGCGUCUGGAAAGGCGCGCGAUACAGGGUGACAGCCCCGUACACAAAAAUGCACAUGCUGUGAGCUCGAUGAGUAGGGCGGGACACGUGGUAUCCUGUCUGAAUAUGGGGGGACCAUCCUCCAAGGCUAAAUACUCCUGACUGACCGAUAGUGAACCAGUACCGUGAGGGAAAGGCGAAAAGAACCCCGGCGAGGGGAGUGAAAAAGAACCUGAAACCGUGUACGUACAAGCAGUGGGAGCUCGCUUAGGCGUGUGACUGCGUACCUUUUGUAUAAUGGGUCAGCGACUUAUAUUCUGUAGCAAGGUUAACCGAAUAGGGGAGCCGAAGGGAAACCGAGUCUUAACUGGGCGUUAAGUUGCAGGGUAUAGACCCGAAACCCGGUGAUCUAGCCAUGGGCAGGUUGAAGGUUGGGUAACACUAACUGGAGGACCGAACCGACUAAUGUUGAAAAAUUAGCGGAUGACUUGUGGCUGGGGGUGAAAGGCCAAUCAAACCGGGAGAUAGCUGGUUCUCCCCGAAAGCUAUUUAGGUAGCGCCUCGUGAAUUCAUCUCCGGGGGUAGAGCACUGUUUCGGCAAGGGGGUCAUCCCGACUUACCAACCCGAUGCAAACUGCGAAUACCGGAGAAUGUUAUCACGGGAGACACACGGCGGGUGCUAACGUCCGUCGUGAAGAGGGAAACAACCCAGACCGCCAGCUAAGGUCCCAAAGUCAUGGUUAAGUGGGAAACGAUGUGGGAAGGCCCAGACAGCCAGGAUGUUGGCUUAGAAGCAGCCAUCAUUUAAAGAAAGCGUAAUAGCUCACUGGUCGAGUCGGCCUGCGCGGAAGAUGUAACGGGGCUAAACCAUGCACCGAAGCUGCGGCAGCGACGCUUAUGCGUUGUUGGGUAGGGGAGCGUUCUGUAAGCCUGCGAAGGUGUGCUGUGAGGCAUGCUGGAGGUAUCAGAAGUGCGAAUGCUGACAUAAGUAACGAUAAAGCGGGUGAAAAGCCCGCUCGCCGGAAGACCAAGGGUUCCUGUCCAACGUUAAUCGGGGCAGGGUGAGUCGACCCCUAAGGCGAGGCCGAAAGGCGUAGUCGAUGGGAAACAGGUUAAUAUUCCUGUACUUGGUGUUACUGCGAAGGGGGGACGGAGAAGGCUAUGUUGGCCGGGCGACGGUUGUCCCGGUUUAAGCGUGUAGGCUGGUUUUCCAGGCAAAUCCGGAAAAUCAAGGCUGAGGCGUGAUGACGAGGCACUACGGUGCUGAAGCAACAAAUGCCCUGCUUCCAGGAAAAGCCUCUAAGCAUCAGGUAACAUCAAAUCGUACCCCAAACCGACACAGGUGGUCAGGUAGAGAAUACCAAGGCGCUUGAGAGAACUCGGGUGAAGGAACUAGGCAAAAUGGUGCCGUAACUUCGGGAGAAGGCACGCUGAUAUGUAGGUGAAGUCCCUCGCGGAUGGAGCUGAAAUCAGUCGAAGAUACCAGCUGGCUGCAACUGUUUAUUAAAAACACAGCACUGUGCAAACACGAAAGUGGACGUAUACGGUGUGACGCCUGCCCGGUGCCGGAAGGUUAAUUGAUGGGGUUAGCGCAAGCGAAGCUCUUGAUCGAAGCCCCGGUAAACGGCGGCCGUAACUAUAACGGUCCUAAGGUAGCGAAAUUCCUUGUCGGGUAAGUUCCGACCUGCACGAAUGGCGUAAUGAUGGCCAGGCUGUCUCCACCCGAGACUCAGUGAAAUUGAACUCGCUGUGAAGAUGCAGUGUACCCGCGGCAAGACGGAAAGACCCCGUGAACCUUUACUAUAGCUUGACACUGAACAUUGAGCCUUGAUGUGUAGGAUAGGUGGGAGGCUUUGAAGUGUGGACGCCAGUCUGCAUGGAGCCGACCUUGAAAUACCACCCUUUAAUGUUUGAUGUUCUAACGUUGACCCGUAAUCCGGGUUGCGGACAGUGUCUGGUGGGUAGUUUGACUGGGGCGGUCUCCUCCUAAAGAGUAACGGAGGAGCACGAAGGUUGGCUAAUCCUGGUCGGACAUCAGGAGGUUAGUGCAAUGGCAUAAGCCAGCUUGACUGCGAGCGUGACGGCGCGAGCAGGUGCGAAAGCAGGUCAUAGUGAUCCGGUGGUUCUGAAUGGAAGGGCCAUCGCUCAACGGAUAAAAGGUACUCCGGGGAUAACAGGCUGAUACCGCCCAAGAGUUCAUAUCGACGGCGGUGUUUGGCACCUCGAUGUCGGCUCAUCACAUCCUGGGGCUGAAGUAGGUCCCAAGGGUAUGGCUGUUCGCCAUUUAAAGUGGUACGCGAGCUGGGUUUAGAACGUCGUGAGACAGUUCGGUCCCUAUCUGCCGUGGGCGCUGGAGAACUGAGGGGGGCUGCUCCUAGUACGAGAGGACCGGAGUGGACGCAUCACUGGUGUUCGGGUUGUCAUGCCAAUGGCACUGCCCGGUAGCUAAAUGCGGAAGAGAUAAGUGCUGAAAGCAUCUAAGCACGAAACUUGCCCCGAGAUGAGUUCUCCCUGACUCCUUGAGAGUCCUGAAGGAACGUUGAAGACGACGACGUUGAUAGGCCGG